CAUUAGAUGACUGAAAGAAAGUACUGGUCUCUUAAACCAUUUUAUAGUAACUAACGCCUACUUCUAAUGG
rnacentral:tRNA from 1 species